rnacentral:rRNA from 1 species
AUGAACGCUAGCGACAGGCCUAACACAUGCAAGUCAGGGGCAGCACAAGGAGCAAUCUGAGGUGGCGACCGGCGCACGGGUGAGUAACACGUAUGCAACCUGCCUGUAAGCGGGGAAUAACCCGUUGAAAGACGGACUAAUACCGCAUAAUACUAAAUUACUGCAUGGUAAUUUAUUUAAACAUUUAUGGCUUACAGAUGGGCAUGCGCAUGAUUAGCUAGUUGGAGAGGUAACGGCUCCCCAAGGCAACGAUCAUUAGGGGUUCUGAGAGGAAGGUCCCCACACUGGUACUGAGACACGGACCAGACUCCUACGGGAGGCAGCAGUGAGGAAUAUUGGUCAAUGGACGAGAGUCUGAACCAGCCAAGUCGCGUGCAGGAAGAAUGUCCUAAUGGAUUGUAAACUGCUUUUGCAGGGGAAUAAAGUGCAUCACGUGUGAUGUUUUGUAUGUACUCUGCGAAUAAGGAUCGGCUAACUCCGUGCCAGCAGCUGC